rnacentral:rRNA from 1 species
UCGGUCCGGGAUGGGCUCGCGGCCUAUCAGCUAGUUGGUGAGGUAACGGCUCACCAAGGCGUCGACGGGUAGCCGGCCUGAGAGGGUGACCGGCCACACUGGGACUGAGACACGGCCCAG